CCCUUAGAUGUUCUGGGCCGCACGCGCGCUACACUGAAGGGAUCAGCGUGUUUUCCCUUUCCGAGAGGAACGGGUAACCCGCUGAACCCCCUUCGUGGUAGGGAUCGGAGCUUGCAAUUGUUCUCCGUGAACCAGGAAUUCCCAGUAAGCGCAAGUCAUAAGCUUGCGUUGAUUACGUCCCUGCCCUUUGUACACACCGCCCGUCGCUACUACCGAUUGAACGUUUUAGUGAGGUAUUUGGAUUGGGCCUUGGGAGGUUUCGGCCUCCCUUGUUGCUCGGAAAGACUCCCAAACUUGAGCGUUUAGAGGAAGUAAAAGUCGUAACA
rnacentral:rRNA from 1 species